rnacentral:rRNA from 1 species
UACGUAGGGUGCAAGCGUUAAUCGGAAUUACUGGGCGUAAAGCGUGCGCAGGCGGUUCGGUAAGUAAGAUGUGAAAUCCCAGGGCUCAACCUUGGAACUGCAUUUUUAACUGCCGAACUAGAGUAUGUCAGAGGGGGGUGGAAUUCCACGUGUAGCAGUGAAAUGCGUAGAGAUGUGGAGGAACACCGAUGGCGAAGGCAGCCCCCUGGGUCAAGACUGACGCUCAUGCACGAAAGCGUGGGGAGCAAACAGG